rnacentral:lncRNA from 1 species
CUCCACAUUUCAUUAGAACAUUAUGUUCUAGUCCACUAUAGUAGAUAAUACAGUUAUAAACUAUUUUCAACAUACAACUUUCCGAACAUGCCACUAACUUAUAAACCACAAGUUUACAUCCACAAAAUAUUACAUACCAUCAUAUAAACAAAAAUAUGCAAACCACUAUGUAAACCAAAAUACACUCACGACAUAAACCAAAAUACACAUUGAAAAACCACCAUAUAAACCAAAAUAUGUGAACCUCUAAAUUUGAAUCAACCUGAAGUUCAUAUCCAAUCACCAUUAUGUGUCGUCAACCAAAAUACACGGACUACGCAUCCCUCUUAUCCCUCUUGCGACCAGAUUGGGUAUAUGGCGUCUUUGUGUUCGCACUAGCUUUCUUCAGCCUCAACAAUCGAGGUCUACGUGUAGGUGGAUCAGCUGCCAUCGAAGGUCCAAAAACGAUGCUAUCAUGAACCAGCUAAUCAUCAACGAUUACACCAAGUAAAGGUACAAUGGUUGGUGCCUCUUUCACAAUAUCACGAGCAACGUAUACUGACCCAAGUACUCCAACCCCACCUUCCGACGUUAUGGACACAUCAGGGAUAUUGCAAACAACUGGUUCGGUUGCCUCUCCGACAUCCUGUCUAUCCGCAGAAAUAUUGGAAGUUAAAACAUCAUGUUGGGGCUCGUCACUACCGUGAUCGUCAUGACCAAAUCCACCAUACUCAGCAGCAACAUUACGUUGCCCAAUUUCUGUAGCAACUUCAUCAAACCUUCGUCGAAACAUAUUGAUCUCAUCAGUGACAUGAUUUCUCAAACCACACACAUGACCUCCCAGAUCAUUUUGGAGACUAGCGAAUCUUGUGUUCAUCUCUUCCCUCAAAUCACCCAUCUUGCUCUCAAAUGCCUCCCGUUGUUGUUCAAGAUAGCUCUUAUCUCAUCUAAAGACACAGACAUUUCAAUGAUCGAAUCCCGAUGUUCUUCUUCUCUACUUCAACGUGAUGCAAAUCUCGAUGAUAAGGUCCACCUCUGUUGCCUCUCUGGGAUUUAUUUGGUCGAUGGUUGUUGUCAUCGUUCAGUAUAACAUCAUCCCCAGCUGGACAAGCUUGUAUUUCUAUUAAUUGAGCAACAAGACCACCUAGAACGGGGUCAGCUGCGUCUUCCAACUUAACUAGAUCGGCUAAGUACGGCUGCAAUUCUUUUGCAGCAGUUGCGCGCAGCGUUGCCCACAAGUGCACCUACAGGGGAAGGAAAAAUAGGUGAAAUGAAAUAUUAUAUAUUUUGAAAGUAUAGGGCAAUUACGUAUGUAAAUCGCUUACAUCUGCCUUCUAAAAAAAAUCUGAAUAUGUUCGGGAACU